CCAUGUAAUUGGAUCAACUGGUGACCGGUUGAGCUAGAAGAUUGAUAAUCACUGCUCAUAAUCACUCGUUAUCGCAUGUCUGACUAUAUUAUUAACACUCAUAAAACAUAUUUGGAAAAAAAUAUUUAUAAA
rnacentral:pre_miRNA from 1 species